rnacentral:tRNA from 2 species
AAGGGAGACCUAAUUCAGGUAUAAGACGAAAAAAAAGUAGUCCCUACCAAGAAUCAAUCCCAAAAGGUCGGAACGAGGUAUGAGGCUUUCAAACUAGGUUCUGGGUUCAUAAAAGACCUGAAUCAGGAACAAGGGCUAUUAGCUCAGGUGGUUAGAGCGCACCCCUGAUAAGGGUGAGGUCCCUGGUUCGAGUCCAGGAUGGCCCACCUGCACAGGUGGCAAAAACAAGAGAAGCGAGGAAUCAGCACCUUAUCUUACUGACAUAGUAAGAGAGAAUGCUGGCUCUGAGUAAAGAGUCCAGAGGAACCUUGAAAACUGCAUAGAGCUAGGUGAAAAAGCCAAAAAAGAAGACCGCAA